rnacentral:rRNA from 1 species
UGGGGAAUUUGGACAAUGGGCGCAAGCCUGAUCCAGCAAUGCCGCGUGCAGGAAGAAGGCCUUCGGGUUGUAAACUGCUUUUGUCAGGGAAGAAAUCCUCUGGGUUAAUACCUCGGGGGGAUGACGGUACCUGAAGAAUAAGCACCGGCUAACUACGUGCCAGCAGCCGCGGUAAUACGUAGGGUGCGAGCGUUAAUCGGAAUUACUGGGCGUAAAGCGUGCGCAGGCGGUUGUGCAAGACAGGUGUGAAAUCCCCCGGGGCUUAAACCCUGGGAACUGCAACUUGUGACUGCACGGCUAGAGUACGGUAGAGGGGGGAUGGAAUUCCGCGUGUAGCAGUGAAAUGCGUAGAUAUGCGGAGGAACACCGAUGGCGAAGGCAAUCCCCUGGACCUGUACUGACGCUCAUGCACGAAAGCGUGGGGAGCAAACAGGAUUAGAUACCCUGGUAGUCCACGCCCUAAACGAUGUCAACUGGUUGUUGGACGGCUUGCUGUUCAGUAACGAAGCUAACGCGUGAAGUUGACCGCCUGGGGAGUACGGCCGCAAGGUUGAAACUCAAAUGAAUUGACGGGGUCAUAGCUGUUUCCUG